UACAGAAGUUGGCCGUAGAAGGAAGAACUGCAUGAGACCGGCCAUGGAAAGGCUCUUGAAGAAUGUUGACGACCGGAGGCUUCAGACCACCAUGAUUGAAGCCUUCCCUAUCUGCUUCGAAGAAAAUGACUUUGAGGGCAUCCGAUUUUGCGAAGCGAGAACGUGCAUGGAAGUCGAAACACCAUAAGAUGAGAAACUUCGUGGCUUCAGAAACCGCUUCAUGCCUGCAAUCGAUCAGUUUGCUUCAAUUUCGGAAUGAGAGAGAGAGAGAGAGAGAGAGAGAGAGAGAGAGAGAGAGAGAGAGAGAGAGAGAGAGAGAGAGAGAGAGAGAGAGAGAGAGAGAGUAUACCGUGUACAUAAGCACGAUUUGCGUAAGCCAUUAGACAUAGACCACGUGGCUGUUUGCCAUGUGUCUCGAAGUCCAGUAAAGAACCAUUGCCUCAGCGAGGACUUAGAUGAUGAAUAUAUCUGACCUCGCCUGACCCCUCAGUACGUGUCUAGCGGUCGACGUGGUAAGAUCUAGCCUCUUGCCCCCACAGGGCUGGUUGGCUGACCCACGACCUCACCGCUUACUUAAGACUCGUCUCGUAGGUUCCUUUCACUGUGUAGUACUCUUCAUUAAUAAAGAGUCAAGCCUU